rnacentral:rRNA from 1 species
UACGUAGGGGGCGAGCGUUGUCCGAAUUCACUGGGCGUAAAGCGCGCGUAGGCGGACUUUUAAGUUGGGGGUGAAAUCCCGAGGCUCAACCUCGGAACUGCCUUCAAAACUGGGAGUCUUGAGGUAUGGAGAGGGAAGUGGAAUUCCAGGUGUAGCGGUGAUAUGCGUAGAUAUCUGGAGGAACACCCGUGGCGAAGGCGGCUUCCUGGCCAUAUCCUGACGCUGAGGUGCGAAAGCUAGGGGAGCGAAC